rnacentral:misc_RNA from 1 species
GAUGAAGAACGUAGCGAAAUGCGAUAAGUAGUGUGAAUUGCAGAAUUCAGUGAAUCAUCGAAUCUUUGAACGCACAUUGCGCCCUUUGGUAUUCCAAAGGGCAUGCCUGUUCGAGCGUCAUUUGUACCCUCAAGCUUUGCUAGGUGUUGGGCGUCUUGUCUCUAGCUUUGCUGGAGACUCGCCUUAAAGUAAUUGGCAGCCGGCCUACUGGUUUCGGAGCGCAGCACAAGUCGCACUCUCUAUCAGCAAAGGUCUAGCAUCCAUUAAGCCUUUUUUUCAACUUUUGACCUCGGAUCAGGUAGGGAUACCCGCUGAACUUAAGCAUAUCAAUAAGCGGAGGA